ACUAACCAGCGAAAUGUGUGGGUAAUAAUUAAAAGCGGCAAUUUUGAAAUUCGAUGUCGGGAACGCGCGUUCGUGGCGGUGAAGCUGAUCGAAUAUGCGCCUGGUGACCUGGCGAAGAUGCUAAGAUAUGCGCCUGCGCCUCUGAACUUGUCUUGUUGUAGGGCGCACUCUUUAUAUAGAUACCAAUGCCAGGAUUAUCAACAAGUGUUUUACGGAUACGUCUGCGCAGUGUGUGGUGUUAUAUGUGUAAAUGUGGACAUGCGUAAAAAAGAAAUAAAGAUGUGGCAGGCGUAUGUUGAAAUACAGUGAAACCAA